AAUUAAUUUCAAUUCCUACUCAGCGCGAUUGUUUGCGUUUGAAAUGAAAGCCUUUUCACACCGCUCCACCUCGACCUUCCCUACAGCACCCUCUACCCUUCCAUGCCCUCUGCUACUUCGCAUGUUUCGGCCUCCAAUUGAAUAUUCUUAUUCAAAGAAACUUUGUGCGAGUACUAGUCUUUUUGUUAAUAACUCCUUUGACUGCAACCAAAUCCGAAUGCAGCUCCGAUUCGGGUUCGAAUUUUUUGUUGAAAUCGUGGUCAUUAGCGCUGCAUCAUCCUCCUACCAAUCCUCAACCGAUUCCUCCGGCAACCGAAACCACUUAAAGCUGUUGAAUAAAUCUCGUCAGAAUGGCUUUGUUGUGCUUACAUUAGCCUCCGUAAUGAGCUGAUUUUGAUUCGAAUUCUACUUCUCGAAAAAAGGAAAAGUCUCAGUCAUCAAUAUUGUUCUAUUAAUGUACAUACGAGUAUAACUCGGAUGGCACUCCACCGAUGACUCUUUUAUCCAUUCAUGUUCUUCUUUUCUGACGGAGUCAACGAUCAAGGUUAUUACGGAAAUUCCUUUCAAGUAUUUUCAAUAAACCACCUUUUCUCACCGAUUGGAUAUUAAAAUGGAUAUCAAAUGCCAUUAACUGAACGAUCAGAAAUAAAUUAUGCAAAAUAAUGGGACAAAACUCAUGUGAAUCUUCUGCUCCAAUCAAGCAGAGGUCUCACCUUUUCAGGUGCAUUAAACCUGGCCAGGUUGCGAGAAACAGAAUCACCAGCUCACCAGCUUUUCCCCAUAAACAGGACCAUCGCAUUCCACUAAUGAGAGACCAAGGCGAUCCCGCCGAAUGCGCGACGACACACGCAUGGGUGUACGAAUGUGUAGAUGCCGGGGGUAUUAACAUACGCAUGUCCCGGCAAUUACCAUCAAAUGUCCGCCUCUCUUUGAUCUUCACCGAUGUUUGGACGCCAGUAAUCCCAACUUGGCCUAAACAUUUCAGGCAUUCCUUUUGCCAGUGCCGCGGAUCAGCGGCUGUGGCUGCAACUGCAACUGCAACUCAGCUGCAGUUCAUCCAGCUCCGGCCAGAGCUCGAUAGCCAAUGGGUUGGAAGGCACACGAAGAAAAAUUAUGGAUAGUUAUUAAAGGAAAUAUUUUAGUUCAUAAUGUAUAUGUUUAAGAAUGAUGGGAUGUAGGUUCGCCACUAAUAAAUUACUUCAAUAGAGCCAGUGUGGUUUUAGCCAUAA